rnacentral:lncRNA from 1 species
CAAUGUAUAUAUAAUAUUUAUAUAGGAAAAUAAUCUAAAAACACUAACUCAAUUGGAGACCAUUUGAGAAACAUGAGUACAAACUUCUUAAAAAUGGAUUAAUAUGAAUUAAGGACAUUGUAAUUAACCUUUUUCCAUAUACUUGGUAUCUACAAAUUGGUAACUGGAAUACAUCUCAUUAAACCAAGUUUAAUGAGAUGUAUUCAAACUAAAUUUUUAAAGUAAUUAAGUCUAGUAUGUCAUAUUUUCAGUAUAAUCAUAUUAUUGGUUGUAAAUAUAAUAAUACUAGUUAAUACUUAUAAACAAGUAUUGUUUUACUGGUUUUUAAUUAUUAUAUAUGAAAUACAUUCAUUAUAACAUCUCUUGUAUAGUAUUAUGUGUAUAGCUCUUCAUUUAUUUAUUAAUUUGGAAAUGAAGAUCAAAGAUCCAAUAUAAUAUUUAUUAGUUAAAAAUGUAUGGGUACAAUCAUUUUUAUAUGUUUAUAUUAUACCAGAUUUCUAAAUAAGGAUUAUGUUGAUAUAAUAUUUCUUGUAUUAUUGAAAAGUAUAAAUAUUUUUCUAUGUUUAUUAAUCAACUUACGCGUUAUAGUAUUUCCAUUUACUAGAGAAAUAUAAUUUAGUAUCAUAUAUCAUUAUAAAGAAAAAUACACUAUUAGCUAUUUUAUGUUCAUUCUAUAAUAUUUGCAAUUCAAUAAAACCUUAUGUCAACUUAUUAUGAAAGUCUUAAAUGUAUACUUUAACUAUUUCAAUUUUAAUUAGUUAAAGUAUUAGAAAAUUGAUCUAUUUAUUGAUGUCUUAAUAAAUUAGUAUAAUCAGAUUAUAAGACAAUUGUACCCAUAUUUCCUAAAAGGUCACAAAAUAGAUUAUUGUUUUUAGAUAUUUGUCUACAUAAAUAUUCUAUAUAAUAAUAGAAUUUGAUAUUAAUUUCUAUAUUUAUAUAAAUUGUAUUACCCAAACAUGAAAAAAAAUAUUAUAUGUGAAAUUAAUCAAUUAGGUCAUCUAUUAUAUGGUAUUAUGAGUAUAAAUAUUCAUUUCAUUUUAAAUUAAGGUCAUAUAUCUAAUUUUGUAUGUAAUACUUACAAAUGCAUUGGUUCAAACAUUCUUACACGUUAAUAUUAAACAAUUAAACAAAGAUAAAUUUUAUCAACAAGUGUUGAUGUGAUGUUUUAAUCAAUGGAUUUCAUGUAUAAUACCUUUUAUAUCAUAUUUCUCAAUUGGUCUCCAAAUAGGUUUGUUGUUUUUACAUUAUUCUCGUACAAAAUUAUUAUUAAUAUAUAUAUUAACUCAUAUUUUAGUACUUUUAUAUAAGUAUUAUAAUAUAUACUAUAUAAAAGCUAAUAAUUAUUAACUCUUAUUGUUUAACUGAUUCAUAAGUAUUAUGUAUAUAAAAAGUCAUUUAUUUAUUUAAUUUUUAAUGGAUAAUAACAGACACCAAAAGUGAAAAGGACUCUCAGGUGAUAUCUAAGAUGAAAACAAACAAGAAUUCAAUACGUAAAUGAUCAAACACUAGUGAGUAUUGUAUAAUAAUUAUAAUUUUAUGUAUCAAAAAAUUA